GCAUAUCAAUAAGCGGAGGAAAAGAAACCAACAGGGAUUGCCCCAGUAACGGCGAGUGAAGCGGCAACAGCUCAAAUUUGAAAUCUGGCCCCCCGGCCCGAGUUGUAAUUUGCAGAGGAUGCUCUUGGCAAGGCACCGUCCGAGUUCCCUGGAACGGGACGCCACAGAGGGUGAGAGCCCCGUAUGGACGAGCGCCGCGCCGCUGUAGAGCUCCUUCGACGAGUCGAGUAGUUUGGGAAUGCUGCUCUAAAUGGGAGGUAAAUCUCUUCUAAAGCUAAAUACUGGCCACAGACCGAUAGCGCACAAGUAGAGUGAUCGAAAGAUGAAAAGCACUUUGAAAAGAGAGUUAAACAGCACGUGAAAUUGUUGAAAGGGAAGCGCUCAUGACCAGACUUGCGCCUGGCGGAUCAUCCGGCGUUCUCGCCGGUGCACUCCGCCAGGCUCAGGCCAGCAUCGGUUCGCUGUCGGGGAGAAAGGCGAGGGGAAUGUGGCUCUUCGGAGUGUUAUAGCCCCCCGCGCAAUACCCUUCGGCGGACCGAGGUUCGCGCAUCUGCAUGGAUGCUGGCGUAAUGGUCAUCAGCGACCCGUCUUGAAACACGGACC
rnacentral:rRNA from 1 species